rnacentral:rRNA from 1 species
AUUGAACGCUGGCGGCAGGCCUAACACAUGCAAGUCGAACGAGUGGCGGACGGGUGAGUAAUUGAUGGGAAUCUGGCCUAUGUAGGGGGAUAACUACUGUAAACUGUAGCUAAUACCGCGUACCGUCGGAUGAACCCCUGUGGGAUUAGGUAGUGGGUGAGGUAAAGGCUCACCAAGGCGACGAUCUCUAGCUGGUCUGAGAGGAUGACCAGCCACACUGGGACUGAGACACGGCCCAUACUCCUACGGGAGGCAGCAGUGGGGAAUAUUGCGCAAUGGGCGAAAGCUGACACAGCCAUGCCGCGUGAAUGAAGAAGGCCUUCGGGUUGUAAAGUUCUUUCGGUAGCGAGGCGUUAUCUACAGAAGAAGCACCGGCUAACUCCGUGCCAGCAGCCGCGGUAAUUC